rnacentral:rRNA from 1 species
CCUACGGGAGGCAGCAGUGAGGAAUAUUGGUCGAUGGGCGCGAGCCUGAACCAGCCAAGUAGCGUGAAGGAUGACGGCCCUACGGGUUGUAAACUUCUUUUAUAAAGGAAUAAAGUUAGGCACGUGUGCCUUUUUGCAUGUACUUUAUGAAUAAGGAUCGGCUAACUCCGUGCCAGCAGCCGCGGUAAUACGGAGGAUCCGAGCGUUAUCCGGAUUUAUUGGGUUUAAAGGGUGCGUAGAUGGUUUGUUAAGUCAGUUGUGAAAGUUUGCGGCUCAACCGUAAAAUUGCAAUUGAUACUGGCAGUCUUGAGUACAGUUGAGGUAGGCGGAAUGCGUGGUGUAGCGGUGAAAUGCUUAGAUAUCACGAAGAACUCCGAUUGCGAAGGCAGCUUACUAAGCUGCCACUGACAUUGAUGCUCGAAAGUGUGGGUAUCAAACAGGAUUAGAUACCCCUGUAGUC